rnacentral:rRNA from 1 species
UGCGUAGGCGGUCUUUCAAGCCAGAAGUGAAAGGCUACGGCUCAACCGUAGUAAGCUUUUGGAACUGUAGGGCUUGAGUGCAGGAGAGGAGAGUAGAAUUCCUAGUGUAGUGGUGAAAUGCGUAGAUAUUAGGAGGAAUACCAGUAGCGAAGGCGGCUCUCUGGACUGUAACUGACGCUGAGGCACGAAAGCGUGGGGAGCGAACA